CCGGGACGCCCCGCCCCCGCCCGCCAGGCCCGGCUGCGCGCAGCGGUGUUCCUGGCGGUCCCAGCUCACCUGGGGCGCUGCGCGGCCGCCCCAGCCCUCCCCGCGGGACGUUCCGGGCCCCUAGCUUCAGAGCCCUUCCUCUUCAGCUGGCCCAUCUGGUGUGGGAUGCUGGGGCAGAGGCAUCAGUCUGAGUGGAGGUCAGAGGUGAGCUCAGCCGAAGGGUGGCAGGAAUGGCCUUUGUCCUCCAGUCCCAGCACCUGCCCGAGUCCAGACAAGACCUGCUUCCUGGUCCACAGCCUUUGCAGCUGAACUCAAGAACCUGGCCUAGUCCUGCUCCACAUGUGACUCCAUCCUGAACCAGUGUGCAGGGUCAAGCACUCUGCUCUGCCCUGGCAGGGGCAGGCAUACACCCAUGCCCUCGCCCUUCCUCGGCAGGGUGAGGAACGGGCAAAAGCAGGAAGUGGGCACUGCAGGGACAGCUGGGGCAGGACCCAAAGCCACUCUGGGCCGCCUGGACCUGUAGUGUUUGCAGAUGGUGUGGAACAGAAUGAACCGGCAGCCCUUCUGGGCAUCCUAAUGGAUGGUGCCCCAGCCACAGAGAUGCUUGGGAGCACUGGCCCUUUCCACGCCUGCGUGUGGAUCUGCUGCAUGGGCACGCUGAGUGGGAAAGCAGGUGUCCAGGCUGCCUGACGUUCACUCUGGGGUCAGACGAAGCCAGCUGAGGGCCCUGGGUGAGGACAUGACAGUGACACUGGCUCUGGAGGAGGCCCAGGACACUGGCAGCCUGCCACCCUCAGCAGUGUACAGAGGAGCAGUGUUCCGACCAGGCGUCAGGAUGGAGGCAGCGUGGCUGGAGGGCUUCUCCCUCCUCUGGUGGCCCCACUUACAGGGCCUGAGUGGAUGUCCCUGUGCAUCACACCCCAUGGCUGUGAGCUACCCAGAGCCGUCUAUGGCAAGUCAGUAGGACAGACACACCUGCUCGCUCAGCAGCGCGGGAGACUGCUGGGACCUGGCAGGGUACGGAGGAGGUGGCUGCCGCCUGGCUGAGCCAGACGUCUACCUGACGAAGGCCGCAAUGGCCACCACCUGAAGGGCGGCCUCCAGGCCGUGGAGCACCAGGAGUCCAGCACUGAGGAUGGCGUCUGCCCAGAGCACCAGGGUCUGCCAGAGCAGAAAGUGGAUGGAGAGAAGGCCGCUGCCCACUGUGAGGGCCAGGCUGGCAGCCAGGGGCCCCUCAGCCUCUGUCAAGUUGCCCUGUGUGCCUGAAGAGCAAGCAGAUGAGAGUGAGGUGUGGUAGGGCAUCGGCCUGGGGCAGGACCCACCACCCAGUCCUGGUCCUGCUGAGGACAGCACGAGCCACGGGAUCGGGGAAAGAGCUCACUGUGGCCACCCCCAGAGCUGGUGCCUGCCUGACCCUCUGGCCAGCGGUGGGUGUGGGGCAGACUUUGGUAUCUGAAACUAUGGGCAUCUGCCACCCUUUUGCAUUUAAAACUUCCAAAAAUAUUUUACUAAAGCCA